UCCCUUAAAGCCAUUCUCAUUCGGAUUNUAGGCUGAAACUCGCCUACAUGAAGCUGGAGUUACUAGUAAUCGCAGAUCAGAAUGCUGCGGUGAAUGCGUUCCCGGGUCUUGUACACACCGCCCGUCACACCACGGAAGUUGGGGGCGCCCGAAGCCACUUAGCUAGCCCUUUUGGGAAGCGAGUGUCGAAGGUGAAAUCAAUAACUGGGGUGAAGUCGUAACAAGGUACC
rnacentral:rRNA from 1 species